rnacentral:rRNA from 1 species
GAUGAACGCUGGCGGCGUGCCUAAUACAUGCAAGUCGAGCUAACGGACGAGAAGCUUGCUUUUCUGAUGUUAGCGGCGGACGGGUGAGUAACACGUGGAUAACCUACCUAUAAGACUGGGAUAACUUCGGGAAACCGGAGCUAAUACCGGAUAAUAUUUUGAACCGCAUGGUUCAAAAGUGAAAGACGGUCUUGCUGUCACUUAUAGAUGGAUCCGCGCUGCAUUAGCUAGUUGGUAAGGUAACGGCUUACCAAGGCAACGAUGCAUAGCCGACCUGAGAGGGUGAUCGGCCACACUGGAACUGAGACACGGUCCAGACUCCUACGGGAGGCAGCAGUAGGGAAUCUUCCGCAAUGGGCGAAAGCCUGACGGGGCAACGCCGCGUGAGUGAUGAAGGUCUUCGGAUCGUAAAACUCUGUUAUUAGGGAAGAACAUAUGUGUAAGUAACUGUGCACAUCUUGACGGUACCUAAUCAGAAAGCCACGGCUAACUACGUG